rnacentral:rRNA from 1 species
GGACUACUGGGGUAUCUAAUCCUGUUUGCUCCCCACGCUUUCGCGUCUCAGCGUCAGUCACCGUCCAGGUGGCCGCCUUCGCCACUGGUGUUCCUCCCGAUAUCUACGAAUUUCACCUCUACACCGGGAAUUCCACCACCCUCUCCGGGACUCGAGCGAGGCAGUUUCGAGUGCAGUUCCGGAGUUGAGCUCCGGGCUUUCACACCCGACUUGCCAAGCCGCCUACACGCGCUUUACGCCCAGUGAUUCCGAACAACGCUUGCGCCCUCCGUAUUACCGCGGCGGCUGGCAC